GCUCCCGUGGCGGAACUGGGAUACGCCCUAGACCGAGAUUCUAGGUUUUUACAGGUUCAAAUCCUGUCGGGAGUACCA
rnacentral:tRNA from 1 species